GGGGCUGUAGCUCAGUUGGUUAGAGCGCUUCCUUGUCAUGGAAUAGGUCGCCGGUUCGAGUCCGGUCAGCCCCG
rnacentral:tRNA from 1 species